AUUGAACGCUGGCGGCAGGCUUAACACAUGCAAGUCGAGCGGAGCGAGGGUGCUUGCACCUUAGCUUAGCGGCGGACGGGUGAGUAAUGCUUAGGAAUCUGCCUAUUAGUGGGGGACAACAUUCCGAAAGGAAUGCUAAUACCGCAUACGCCCUACGGGGGAAAGCAGGGGAUCUUCGGACCUUGCGCUAAUAGCUGAGCCUAAGUCGGAUUAGCUAGUUGGUGGGGUAAAGGCCUACCAAGGCGACGAUCUGUAGCGGGUCUGAGAGGAUGAUCCGCCACACUGGGACUGAGACACGGCCUAGACUCCUACGGGAGGCAGCAGUGGGGAAUAUUGGACAAUGGGCGGAAGCCUGAUCCAGCCAUGCCGCGUGUGUGAAGAAGGCCUUUUGGUUGUAAAGCACUUUAAGCGAGGAGGAGGCUCUUAAGGUUAAUACCCUUGAUGAGUGGACGUUACUCGCAGAAUAAGCACCGGCUAACUCUGUGCCAGCCGCCGCAGUAAAAC
rnacentral:rRNA from 1 species